UACGUAGGGGGCUAGCGUUGUCCGGAUUUAUUGGGCGUAAAGAGCGUGUAGGCGGCCAUGUAGGUCCGGUGUGAAAACUCGAGGCUUAACCUCGAGAUGUCAUCGGAAACCAUUUGGCUAGAGUCCGGAAGAGGAGAGUGGAAUUCCUGGUGUAGCGGUGAAAUGCGCAGAUAUCAGGAAGAACACCCGUGGCGAAGGCGGCUCUCUGGUACGUGACUGACGCUGAGACGCGAAAGCGUGGGGAGCGAGCAGG
rnacentral:rRNA from 1 species